UGUGUCACGCUCACGCGGGCCGUCCGUGAGGACGGCGUGCAGACGUCGCGCGGCCGCCAUUACCUGCCCGUCCCGGCCCGGCACGUGCGCUCGGCUCCGUCCCGCAGCCGGAAUGGGGGCGACGGCCGCGCGCUCGGCGCCGCCGCGGACAUUUUGUGGCGCUGCGCUGCGGGCGGGCGGCCGCCGACGGCACAUCCCGGAACCCGCCCUCGUAAAAUGGAUCGCCGAGUCAUCGCCGGCCGCCCGUCUGCCUGCCUGCAGCACGCUGGCUUUUCUGCAGGAAGCCGGAAAGUACCGCAAUGGGCAUGUCCCGGUGCCUCCCAGCCGGGCGGGAGGAGACUCGAUAGCCGAGCGCGUGUAAAUCGCGGCGCGGCCCCGCAGGAAACGGCCCCGCCGUCAGCGGGCGUGGGGGGCCGCGCUGCUCGUGGCCGCCGCGAGGUUAAUGAGGUACCGUGCAGCUACUGGGUUCAGCGGGCAGCCGGAAAGCGCCGCGCUGAAAAGCCCGGAGUUUUAGGAAUAUCAUAAAGAGAUCGUUUUUGUGAUUCCAAGCCAGGCCGAGUUGUUCUGAUGUCCGCAGCAGCUGGAAGAGAAAACCAUACAACGGCUGAUGGAGUUGGCUGCAGCAAGAAAAUCACAUCUCAGUUCCCAGGAUUUCAGAAAGAUGGGCCUCCUCCGAUAGUUGCAAAUCUCUGCAAAACGUUCUGGUGCUGCUGUGCACUGGUUUGAUCAGAUCUUGGCGAUUUCCUCCUGCGUGCACUCCAUGGCUCUGCUCUUGAGGAUGGAUGAUGCUACCCGGAACUGUGUCUGAUUCAGUGUGCUGAAGGAGGAGAGAAGGGGGAUGCGGAGUUGAUCUUCAAAACUGGCCCGCGUAUUUUGGGUCUGAGCCGUUGGCAGCACUGCUGUGCUGAUUCCCCUUCGUCUAAGCGUUCCUGACCGAUCCGUGCCUUGCCCGGAGCGGAAAGGUAAAGAGAGGUCCUUCCGUUUGUGUCGGAGAUGGCUUCUUUCCUGGGCUGGCUUUCUUUGCGGCGUAGGUACGCCGAACCCUGCCGCUUUCCAGUGCCCUUUUUCAGAAGGUUACGCUUCUCUGUGAAAGCGGUAGGUGGCAAGAAAAGGAGAUGGUGAAGCGCUGGCAACACCCAGUGGGUUCGUUAGCUGCUCUUUGCCAUUCGGCCUGAAGGGGCCCGUUCGAAUCACCUGAAAGGUCUCCAGCAGGGAUUCUUCUGCUCGGAACUGAACACCGGUGAACACAAAAUGCAUACAUACAUACAAAAGAAUGCUGUGCUCAGGCUGCCUUUAAAACGCACGACUACGUAGAAGCUCCACGGGGAUCUGCAGGGAUAUGCAAACGUGACUCCUUUUACAAAAGCCACGGUGCUUUCUUCUCACCUCCGUGCAGAUGCCACUUCAUUUCUGCCGUGGGUUCUAAUAAGGCCUCUGGCAGGUGGGCAAAACGUUACGCUCUACCGUUGCCUUUCUUGGGAAAUCCCCUGAAAAUUCUCAAUAUCACAAAUGAAAGAUUUAUUUUGCCCUAAACGACAUUAUUCCGAUUAAAUCCAUAGAGGCUACAGUGAAUAAGCAACAUACAGUCUCGUCGUUGCACCGAGAAAGCGCCGGCAGGGUACAGCGCACGCGCCUGCAUAUUCUAAUCGGCUCUGUGAGUGGGCCGUCUAAGGCAGCAGAUGCAUUAACUGUUGCCUUUAAUUAAUACCCGCGCUAAUGACCGCUAGAGAGUGCUCUUGUCCCUGUUGGUGAGCGCUGCCGCAUUUUCGUCCUCUGAGGAAAUGGGACAGCCGAUUCCAGCGCCGUAGGGAUGAGAGUGAAUUGGUAAGGAGGCGAACCCCAUCAGUUGUUUAAGUCAGGCACGGCGCCUGGCCGUGUGUGUCCCACUCGGGUAUGUUCCCUCUAACUGGGGGCUGCCUAAACCAGGCAGUAUCUUCUGCCCUACGUCUUCAAUACGCUGUGCUUUUUGCACAAAAAUAGCAAAAGAGGACGAUAGCAAAGGCUUUAAUUCAGCCGAGCUGCUGGUGUUGAAGUUAAGAAGCACCUACUGAAAUGCUUUGCAUUUGGUACAAAAGCCAGUCAUUCUCUUCCGAACAUAACGUGACUUUUCAUGUUUGGUGCAGUCAGGGUUUUGCAGCCAGGUUUUUCCUAAGGCUUUUCAGUCUCGUGUGCUGCCCCGUCUUUGGAAACGCCUUGUUUCCAAGUCCCGGAGCUCUCACUUGUGUUGGGCUGCUCUCUGUCGCACACUUUGCUGUAGUGCACGUCUCUCGGCAGCUUCACUGCUUUCUGGGCACACUGAGCUGGGAGUUCCACCUGCCAUGCAGCUGACGCCCCGAGCUGCUGGGAACGUCUCCCUUUGGCCAGUUCAGCUUCUAUCCAUCUUGUUUAUAAAGUGCCACUGAGAUUCAUAGCAGAGCACCGGUGUACCAUGAGAGCACCACGGCCCGCCUGGCUUCCUGGCACGGAAAUACAGCCAGCUGUGAUUCACUAUGCAGGUGAGGCACUUGGCUGAGCUCAGUGUGAUGCUGUGAUGCUGCUGUAUCUGUAUGCACAUUGCCAGUGCCCCGUGCGAUGUGUGCUGAAACCACAACAGCUUCCAAGCAGACCACCCACUGCACUGCGCAGCAAUGCGUUUUACAUAUCUGACAGACCUUUGAGUUGUUUCCUUUUUUAUCGUAUUCUAUUUCUUCUAAAUCGCGUUCCUCCGAAUCUGGCAUUUAUAGAACAAUAGGUGCAAAUAAUGGUUCGGUUCUCUGUGUGCUCACGCUUGCUGACAAGAAACCGUCAAGAUUAGAGGAGGGAGUUUUGUCUCUGUAUAAACUGAAGUGGAUGAGAUUACUCGUGCCGCAGCUCACGCUGUGCACUUCUGAAUGAGGCAGCCAGCUCCUGGCUGAUGCUUUUUCUUGCCCUCAAAAUGAAAUGAGGUAGCCCUGAGAGUGCCGCGAAAGCCGCCGUACUCCUGAAUUAGUCCAAACCGCAGCUGUGUCAUUCUGGAGCUGGGAGCCUGGGGCAUUCCUACGCAGCACUGCUGCCAUCCAACAUGUCAGAGAGGUGAAGACAGAGCCAUUCUUACCACGGGUCCUGGGACAGCGCUGGGAUGCCGCUGUCAGAAGCAUCCGCAUCUCUCCAAGGGAUGGCAGCGCCGCGCUGCUCUGCCAUGUUACGGCUGCCCUGGCAGACAUGAUGCCGCUCCAAAAUGUGCAUUCCCUGCAGUUGGUACAGUUCCUUCUUAACAGUUUAAGUUCUGGUUGGUUGAAAUGCAUUUCGUAGACUUUCGUAAUGAUGUGUUUUGAUUAAAAAUGCGGGUGUUUUAAGGCAGAGGGAUCGGAAAAGAGCAUAAUUUCUGUGUGCUUUGCAGGGCAAACAGGGCGCAUUCCUCUGUAUUUGAUGUGAUUUUCAGGCAGCUCUGAAAGGUCUCACGAGCAUAUGCUACAGUCCCCUUGAGACUCCGGUGAGAUCUUCUCAGUGAGACCUUCUCAGCUGUAUCUGGCAUCACUGGUGCCAAGAGCUGCCACUGACCAGCAGGUACAAGAGCACAUCAAUGCUUAGGAUCGCAGCUCUGGUUAGCAAAACUUACCUGGACACCCAUCAGAAGCAAGCAGAUUAACGGAACAGAGCCUGCUGGUGACUCAGGGGAUCUUAAAGCACUUGGAAUCCACACAUCAAAUUAAUCAUAAUUAAUCUUAUAUAUGUAGGUUGCUCCAAAAGUAAUGCUUCCUAUUCAUUUCCACCGAAACAUCAGAUAUAAAGGGCACAGUAACACUGUUUGAUAGAAGAAAUUCUCAGUUACAGAACACAUUUUUUUUCGGCAUAGUAGCUACCAUUAGCUAGGCAUCUGUCACACAGCAACAACACGGGUUGGAAUAUGGGUGGGAAGGUGCAACCCCUACUGCUGUAUCACCAGCGUCCAUUCUGAUGCCAAGGGCCAAUAUCACAAAUCAGGAGGCAUUACUUCUGGAGCAGCCCUUGCACAAAGUGGCAUGUUGGGCGCGUUGUGGUGCAUCGCCCUUCUCCCUUCAGCCACUAUCCCUGCUGGCUAUCAGUGUGUAGCGCAGUUCUGAUCAGAUUGUUAAGGAGUGGAAGAAGAGAGCAGCUCAAAAUGAGCCACAGCAGCGUGCCAUUUACUGAAUGUUAGAGACCUCAAGAUCUGGGGAGCGGUGUUAGAAUCACGAACCCUCAGCAAGUCCUCCUUUUCCCAUACAUAAAUUUUUCCAGUCCAAAAAACAGAAUCUGGUGUGGGUUUGUUUUCUUUUUUUCCAUCAUCUGUGGGUGUCUGGUAGUCUAUUCAAAGAGUGUAACCUAGCAAUAAGUAUCUCAGCAUGCACUGUGAGUAUCCAGGAAUCCUUAGUAGGGACCAAGACGUGUGUAGAAUUAUUUGUUUGUUUGUUUGUUUGUUUGUUUGUUUAUUUGUUUACAACCAGUGGAUCCAAAAGACCUGGAAGCUUCCCAGCCCUGGCCCAUGUAUCUGUAGUCAUCCUUCAUGUGCUCAGCCAGUCCUGGGUGUUCCAGGCACAUCUGUAAAACCCUUCCCCGAGCGCUCAGUAAAUCCAUGUGUGUACGCAAUGAUCACCGUGCAACUGCUGCAUGACAUGUAUGCAUUUAUCCGAAACGUCAUCUGGUAGAAAUAUGGCAGCCUCAUAU
ensembl:lncRNA